UCAGAUUUUUUUUCUUCUUCUCGCCAGCGAAGGGCUGAGCCGCAGCCUUUCCACGUCCCUUCCCCCAUCAACCCCACAGACCAGCGGCGAGACCAUCCUCCUUCAUCCCCAUAGACCAGCCACCCGAAGACUCCCCACGCACCAGACCUUCUCCCUCCCAGCGGUGCUUCUCUCAGCCACCGAGAGCGCCGCCUUCCAGCCUGCAGCACAGGCGCAGCAAAGCUUCCUUGAUCG
rnacentral:lncRNA from 1 species